rnacentral:rRNA from 1 species
UAACCUGCUAAAUAGCCCGGCCGGCUUUGGCUGGCCGUUGGCUUCUUAGAGGGACUAUCAGCGUUUAGCUGAUGGAAGUUUGAGGCAAUAACAGGUCUGUGAUGCCCUUAGAUGUUCUGGGCCGCACGCGCGCUACACUGACUGAGCCAGCGAGUUUAUCACCUUAACCGAGAGGUUUGGGUAAUCUUGUGAAACUCAGUCGUGCUGGGGAUAGAUCAUUGCAAUUAUUGCUCUUCAACGAGGAAUACCUAGUAAGCGUGAGUCAUCAGCUCGCGUUGAUUACGUCCCUGCCCUUUGUACACACCGCCCGUCGCU